ensembl:lncRNA
CAGGCCCGGAGGGCUGUGAAGGGCUAUGAGUAUGGGAGAAAGGGACAGGUGGGUGCAGUUAGGGCUCACCUCAUGGACGCACUCCACCUGCCUCAGGACAAUCUUGGCUGCUGGGAGUCUGCCUCACACAGAGGAGCGGGCCGGGGCCCCAGGAUUACAGCAGUCACAGGUCCAUUAGCGUUAGUUAUAAAGGGAUGGAGACGAGUGGCCCUUCUAAGACACAAUCAGGGGAGUUUCAAUCAGAGGCCAUGUCCUCUCAGGGGUGAGCAGAGUUAACAGUGUGGACACUGAUUGAGACUCUGUGGAUGAGGCCGGAUGAAGCGUGUUAACAAGCGCCCGCUGGCCGAGGCUGGUCGGCUGCUGGGCCGGCCUGCACCAUCCGCCAGGGCUAGGGGUCCGCAGAGCUGACGACUGCAUUUGCACAGACCACGGUGACCUGGAGUCAAUUCACGAGCUCCUCUGGCUUCCGGGAAGUUGGAAAGCAUGACUAAGCUGUUGUACGUGACUCAGGCCUCAGAUGGAUCCAGGGUCUGGAUGGAGCUGGGUUCCUCUCGUUAGCAACGAAAACAGUUCCAACUAAAAAUACACCAGAAAACCCUAAUUGAGUGGAGAAGCGUUUAAUGAAGGCAGCCUCCUGCGACCCGCCUCGGGAAGGCCUAGCCGUGGAGAAGCCUUCAGCCAGCCCCCUGUAGCCGUCUCAGCUCCAGCGCCCACGGGGAAAUAAGCCACCCCUGGGGUGGCCGACCUCAAGGGUUGGUGAUGGCGAAUGAAGUGUCGAGAAUGAGAGGAGCCCCUGUUGGGGCUUUGGGGCUCCUUGGGGUGGAUGGCCCCAGUCGAGGAGGAGGAAGGGAAGGGUUGAGCACAGCUCCGUGUCUCCAGCAUCCCUAGGGUCAGGGUCCAUGCUGGGCCCCUUAGAGUCUUGGGGUCCUUCAUGCUCAACAGCUGGGCUGCAGGUAGAUGUCAUUGUCCCCGACUCGUUGCCGAGAACCAAAGACUCAGACCCUGCUGAUGUCUUCAACUAGUCAGUGGCAAAGUGGGGACUCAAGCCCCAUCCCUCUGCCCCCUUUCAUGUCCCCUGUGGCUUAAAAGGACAGCUGUCAUCUGCUCUGAGGCAGCAGGAGAGGGAUUGUGUUCUCAGCCUACAGAGGGGCGAGCUGAGGACUGGAGGGUUAGGUGCCUUGUCCAGGGGACUCAGGACAUCCCUGGCACCCAAGGCUCCCUGCCCCCCUGCCAUGGGUUGAAUUGGGUCCCCCAAAGAUAUGUUGAAGUUCUGAUCGCUGUGGCCCUAUUGGAAAUCGAGCUUUUGCAGAUGUGAUCAAGGUAACAUGAGGUCGUACUGGAAUAUGCUGGGCUCAAUCCAGUAUGGCUGGUGGAGAGACACAGACACACAGAGGGAAGACCGUGUGAAGACAGAGGCAGAGCCUGGAGUGAUGCUGCCAUAAGCCGAGGGAUGCCUGAGGCUACCAGGAGCUGGACGGAGCAGGAGGGGUCCUCUCCUAGAGCCUUUGGAAGGACAACUCAACUUCAGACUUCUGGCUCCCAGAACUGGGAGACAAAGCACCUUGUCUGAAGCCACCCUGUUUGUGGUACUUUGUUAAGGCAGCCCUGGGAACGAACACGCUUGGUGGGCUCAGCGUGACCCGGCACCCAGGCCUGCAGCCGGGAUCGCUGAGCAGAGCAGGGCCGGGGACCGAGGGCUGUCUGGGAGGGAGGAGAGCCGCCAUUGCCCUCCCUCCUGGGCGCCUGGGCACCGGCACACGCAGUCGCGACGACAGAGACGACAGAGCGCCUCCAGCUGCUGCGUGGCUGGGCGAGCUCUCGGCUGGUUGAGGGAGCAGCCACACCAGCUGCCCCUACCAGCUCCCGCUGCUGCCAUCACAGAGCACGCAUGGCAUCUUGCCGAGCUGGCCCUUGAAUAGGGAAAUGCUGUUUCCCAGCCGCAGCACUGGGGAGCCGGGAGCACAGCAUGCUUUCAGAGGCGGGAGCUUGCGACCCCGGACGUUCAGCAUUAAGCAGACGUCCACGCACUGGGCUGCCAGGCAGGCUCACGGCGCCAGGAGCGGCCAGGCAGCAAGGACCUCAUUCAAGGCUGGUUUGCAUCCCAAGCAAAGGCACCAAGGGGCACAGGGCACUUGUCACGGAG